rnacentral:rRNA from 1 species
AUUGAACGCUGGCGGCAGGCCUAACACAUGCAAGUCGAGCGGUAGCACAGGAGAGCUUGCUCUCCGGGUGACGAGCGGCGGACGGGUGAGUAAUGUCUGGGAAACUGCCUGAUGGAGGGGGAUAACUACUGGAAACGGUAGCUAAUACCGCAUAACGUCGCAAGACCAAAGUGGGGGACCUUCGGGCCUCAUGCCAUCAGAUGUGCCCAGAUGGGAUUAGCUAGUAGGUGGGGUAAUGGCUCACCUAGGCGACGAUCCCUAGCUGGUCUGAGAGGAUGACCAGCCACACUGGAACUGAGACACGGUCCAGACUCCUACGGGAGGCAGCAGUGGGGAAUAUUGCACAAUGGGCGCAAGCCUGAUGCAGCCAUGCCGCGUGUAUGAAGAAGGCCUUCGGGUUGUAAAGUACUUUCAGCGAGGAGGAAGGCAUUAAGGUUAAUAACCUUAGUGAUUGACGUUACUCGCAGAAGAAGCACCGGCUAACUCCGUGCCAGCAGCCGCGGUAAUACGGAGGGUGCAAGCGUUAAUCGGAAUUACUGGGCGUAAAGCGCACGCAGGCGGUUUGUUAAGUCAGAUGUGAAAUCCCCGGGCUCAACCUGGGAACUGCAUUUGAAACUGGCAAGCUUGAGUCUUGUAGAGGGGGGUAGAAUUCCAGGUGUAGCGGUGAAAUGCGUAGAGAUCUGGAGGAAUACCCGGUGGCGAAGGCGGCCCCCUGGACAAAGACU